rnacentral:rRNA from 1 species
GACGAACGCUGGCGGCGUGCUUAACACAUGCAAGUCGAACGGAAAGGCUCCAGCUUGCUGGAGUACUCGAGUGGCGAACGGGUGAGUAACACGUGGGUGAUCUGCCCUGCGCUUCGGGAUAAGCCUGGGAAACUGGGUCUAAUACCGGAUAGGACCGCACUUUGGUGUGUGUGGUGGAAAGGUUUUUCUGGUGUGGGAUGAGCUCGCGGCCUAUCAGUUUGUUGGUGGGGUAAUGGCCUACCAAGACGGCGACGGGUAGCCGGCCUGAGAGGGUGGACGGUCACAUUGGGACUGAGAUACGGCCCAGACUCCUACGGGAGGCAGCAGUGGGGAAUAUUGCACAAUGGGGGAAACCCUGAUGCAGCGACGCCGCGUGGGGGAUGAAGGCCUUCGGGUUGUAAACUCCUUUCGCUAGGGACGAAGCUUUUUGUGACGGUACCUGGAGAAGAAGCACCGGCUAACUACGUG